rnacentral:lncRNA from 1 species
AGGACAUUUCUCCAAAAAGUACGAUCUUUUUCCCCAUGUGCAGUUACAAACCAUAGUCUGGAUUUUUUAUGGCGGUUUUGGAGCAGUGGCUUCUUCCUUGCUGAGCGGCCUUUCAGGUUAUGUCGAUAUAGGACUCAUUUUAGUGUGGAUAUAGAUACUUUUGUACCGGUUUUCUCCAGCAUCUUCACAAGGUCCUUUGCUGUUGUUCUGGGAUUGAUUUGCACUUUUCGCACCAAAGUACGUUCAUCUCUAGGAGACAGAAUGCGUCUCCUUCCUGAGCGGUAUGACGGCUGCGUGGUCCCAUGGUGUUUAUACUUGCGUACUAUUGUUUGUACAGAUGAACGUGGUACCUUCAGUCGUUUGGAAAUUGCUCUCAAGGAUGAACCAGAUUUGUGGAGGUCUAGAAUGUCUUUGAGGUCUUGGCUGAUUUCUUUUGAUGUCAAGCAAAGAGGCACUGAGAUUGAAGGAAAGUGAAAUGAAGAGUAGCAUCCUCCCAAUGAGGAUCACUGUGCAGAGGCAAUGACAACAGGUUUCUAAGCAUGGCAAUAACUUCCUUUGCACGAUUCGUGGGAACCGCCUGCGGCAGACAAUGAUUCAAUUCACAAUGGUGUAUACAAAGAAACCAUAUCCCACAGCAUGAUGGGAAAGGGGAGCAAUGGCAGCAGAUGUCAGAACUAUAAGCAACAGAUGCCUCCUUGCAAGAAUUCAGCCCUGCGCACAAGCCAAACCCACAGAGCUGUGCUGAGCCAAAGAGCGUUGAGAGCUCAUCAAUGGGAGCGCACACAAAUAAUAAUGGAUUACUCUCUGUUUGGUGGAGAGAAGGAAAAUGUGAUGAAAUUAAGGUACAAUCGAUUCGUGAUUGUUUUAAUUGUAUUCAAGGUUGUACAUAUUGAUGGGAACCUAUUGGUUAGUUAUUAUUCCAAGUUUUCUUCAUGCCAAAAGAAUAAAGAUGUCAAAACAAAAUCAGAGUAAAGACAACCACAUACAUAUUUCAGACCAGGGGAACCAGUCA